rnacentral:rRNA from 1 species
CCUACGGGAGGCAGCAGUGAGGAAUAUUGGUCAAUGGGCGAGAGCCUGAACCAGCCAAGUCGCGUGAGGGAGUACUGCCCUAUGGGUUGUAAACCUCUUUUGUCGGGGAGCAAAAGCCGGACGUGUCCGGCUGUGAGAGUACCCGAAUAAUAAGCAUCGGCUAACUCCGUUCCAGCAGCCGCGGUAAGACGGAGGAUGCGAGCGUUAUCCGGAUUUAUUGGGUUUAAAGGGUGCGCGGGAGGAUUUUUAAGUCAGCGGGAAAAUCGUGGCGCUAAACCCCAUCCAGCCGUUGAAACUGGGGAUCUAGAGUGUGCGAGAGGUAUGCGGAAUGCGUGGUGUAGCGGUGAAAUGCAUAGAUAUCACGCAGAACACCGAUUGCGAAGGCAGCAUACCGGUGCACAACUGACGCUCAGGCACGAAAGCGUGGGUAUCGAACAGGAUUAGAUACCCGAGUAGUC